rnacentral:rRNA from 1 species
AGAGUUUGAUCCUGGCUCAGGACGAACGCUGGCGGCGCGCCUAACACAUGCAAGUCGAACGAGCGAGAGAGAGCUUGCUUUCUUGAGCGAGUGGCGAACGGGUGAGUAACGCGUGAGGAACCUGCCUCAAAGAGGGGGACAACAGUUGGAAACGACUGCUAAUACCGCAUAAGCCCACGGCUCGGCAUCGAGCAGAGGGAAAAGGAGCAAUCCGCUUUGAGAUGGCCUCGCGUCCGAUUAGCUAGUUGGUGAGGUAACGGCCCACCAAGGCGACGAUCGGUAGCCGGACUGAGAGGUUGAACGGCCACAUUGGGACUGAGACACGGCCCAGACUCCUACGGGAGGCAGCAGUGGGGAAUAUUGCACAAUGGGGGAAACCCUGAUGCAGCGACGCCGCGUGGAGGAAGAAGGUCUUCGGAUUGUAAACUCCUGUUGUUGAGGAAGAUAAUGACGGUACUCAACAAGGAAGUGACGGCUAACUACGUGCCAGCAGCCGCGGUAAAACGUAGGUCACAAGCGUUGUCCGGAAUUACUGGGUGUAAAGGGAGCGCAGGCGGGAAGACAAGUUGGAAGUGAAAUCCAUGGGCUCAACCCAUGAACUGCUUUCAAAACUGUUUUUCUUGAGUAGUGCAGAGGUAGGCGGAAUUCCCGGUGUAGCGGUGGAAUGCGUAGAUAUCGGGAGGAACACCAGUGGCGAAGGCGGCCUACUGGGCACCAACUGACGCUGAGGCUCGAAAGUGUGGGUAGCAAACAGGAUUAGAUACCCUGGUAGUCCACACUGUAAACGAUGAUUACUAGGUGUUGGAGGAUUGACCCCUUCAGUGCCGCAGUUAACACAAUAAGUAAUCCACCUGGGGAGUACGACCGCAAGGUUGAAACUCAAAGGAAUUGACGGGGGCCCGCACAAGCAGUGGAGUAUGUGGUUUAAUUCGACGCAACGCGAAGAACCUUACCAAGUCUUGACAUCCCUUGACGAUGCUGGAAACAGUAUUUCUCUUCGGAGCAAGGAGACAGGUGGUGCAUGGUUGUCGUCAGCUCGUGUCGUGAGAUGUUGGGUUAAGUCCCGCAACGAGCGCAACCCUUAUGGUCAGUUACUACGCAAGAGGACUCUGGCCAGACUGCCGUUGACAAAACGGAGGAAGGUGGGGAUGACGUCAAAUCAUCAUGCCCUUUAUGACUUGGGCUACACACGUACUACAAUGGCGUUAAACAAAGAGAAGCAAGACCGCGAGGUGGAGCAAAACUCAGAAACAACGUCCCAGUUCGGACUGCAGGCUGCAACUCGCCUGCACGAAGUCGGAAUUGCUAGUAAUCGUGGAUCAGCAUGCCACGGUGAAUACGUUCCCGGGCCUUGCACACACCGCCCGUCA